rnacentral:misc_RNA from 1 species
UCUCCUGCAUGCUCAAAAUCCCGCCUACAAGAAAAUAAUUUUUUUCUACUGUGCAGCAAAUACAUGACAUAAAGCAGGAGCAAUUGAGAAAUAUUGUAAUUAUUUUCAUUCAUGGAGCCAUAGACAACUAUUAAAAACUCUCUAGGAUUCUGACCCUUUCUGGACAUAAUAGAUUCCUAAGAUCCUUGUCUUUGGUGGUUCAAAGCUGUAUUUAGUUUGACUAUCUCGGAAGGGGAAAGAGGAGAAAGUAGGACGGGAUAACAAUUUCAAAGGAAGAAGGAAAUAAUGUGCAAGGAGAAGCAUAAACAUCACCAAUUCACAACAAUUUUACACCAGUAUUUUAAAUUCAAAUA